rnacentral:rRNA from 1 species
UACGGAGGGGACUAGCGUUGUUCGGAAUUACUGGGCGUAAAGCGCACGUAGGCGGAUUUGUAAGUCAGGGGUGAAAUCCCGGGGCUCAACCUCGGAACUGCCUUUGAUACUGCAAAUCUCGAGUCCGGAAGAGGUGAGUGGAAUUCCUAGUGUAGAGGUGAAAUUCGUAGAUAUUAGGAAGAACACCAGUGGCGAAGGCGGCUCACUGGGCCGGUACUGACGCUGAGGUGCGAAAGCGUGGGGAGCAAACAGG